AGUGAACGCUGGCGGUAGGCCUAGCACAUGCAAGUCGAACGGCAGCACAGUAAGAGCUUGCUCUUACGGGUGGCGAGUGGCGGACGGGUGAGGAAUACAUCGGAAUCUACUUUUUCGUGGGGGAUAACGUAGGGAAACUUACGCUAAUACCGCAUACGACCUACGGGUGAAAGCAGGGAUCUUCGGACCUUGCGCGGAUGAAUGAGCCGAUGUCGGAUUAGCUAGUUGGCGGGGUAAAGGCCCACCAAGGCGACGAUCCGUAGCUGGUCUGAGAGGAUGAUCAGCCACACUGGAACUGAGACACGGUCCAGACUCCUACGGGAGGCAGCAGUGGGGAAUAUUGGACAAUGGGCGCAAGCCUGAUCCAGCCAUACCGCGUGGGUGAAGAAGGCCUUCGGGUUGUAAAGCCCUUUUGUUGGGAAAGAAAAGCAGCAGGUUAAUACCCCGCUGUUCUGACGGUACCCAAAGAAUAAGCACCGGCUAACUUCGUG
rnacentral:rRNA from 1 species